rnacentral:rRNA from 1 species
CAGCCGCCACGGGAAUACGGAGGGGGCUAGCGUUGUUCGGAAUUACUGGGCGUAAAGCGCACGUAGGCGGCUUGGUAAGUUAGAGGUGAAAGCCCGGAGCUCAACUCCGGAAUUGCCUUUAAGACUGCCGAGCUAGUAGGUGAGAGAGGUAAGUGGAAUUCCGAGUGUAGAGGUGAAAUUCGUAGAUAUUCGGAAGAACACCAGUGGCGAAGGCGGCUUACUGGCUCAUUCUAGACGCUGAGGUGCGAAAGCGUGGGGAGCAAACAGGAUUAGAUACCCCGGUAGUCCCUGUCUCUUAUAC